rnacentral:tRNA from 1 species
AACCUCGUAGCUCAGCUGGUAUGAGCGCUAGACUUAUAAUCUAGAUGUCACGGGUUCGACUCCCGUCGAAGUUACCA